UCGUAAGCAUCUGAAGAGUUCCGGAACAGCCGCAGU
rnacentral:sRNA from 1 species